AUGUCGAACAAGCUUCUGUUCCUUCCCAGGAUACAGCACUCAGUGCACCUGUGGCCUGCCGCUGACACCAGGAGGGAGAAGCGCUGCGCGUUUUGGUGCCCACACCUUCCUGGGAAGCAUCUUCACCAUCGUCCUGGGAUCAUCUCCGUGCGGAUAGCUCUCCCCUUUGCACGUCACCAGUUCUAUUUCUGUAGUGGGUUUUAUUACUGUGUCUGCUUGUGUGCUGGAGCCGUGGGAAGUGGCCCUCCAAGCCGAGCUGUCAUCAUUCAGGGGUGCAAACGCUGUCAAAAGCAAGUCUUCCUGGCCAGCUGGCGAGGCUCGGUGGUUGAGCGCCAGCUUCCCACGUAGGAGGUCCCGGGUUCAAUCCCCUGGUACUGCAAGGAAAAAAGAUGGUGCUCCCCACAGGUUAAACCAAAGAGAAGCUGGAGGACAUGAGAUCCCAGACCAGGCAGCCCGUCCAGGUCAGUGUCACAAGGGUAUGAACAGGUAGCACAAGAUCCCGAGAAGCUCCGAGAGCGGAGCUUGGGGGCAAACACGAAAUUACAAUUGCACAGACAAGGUGUGGGGUUGUUGGGUUUUUUUUUGUUUUGUUUUGUUUUAAUUUGUUUAAUUCUACUUUGUGAGAAAGUUUGUCAGAGCAAACGCAAUAAUUUUUUUUUUCUCAUUAACACACACUAUGUUUUUUUUCUGUACCCAUCUACAACUUUCCUCACUGAAAGUAGCUUCAACAUGUUUUCAAGGCAGAAGAUAGGGAUCGUCCUGAGGAGGCUGAGACACCGAGCUCUUAGCUUUUUUUAAUCCUCUGUAGAGGAGGGAGGCAAAGAAGGAGGUGGUGGGCUGGCCACUGGCUCGGCGCCCACGUGCCUGCCGCCCGGGUGUCCUGGCUCUCCGUGGCCUCUCCUCCAUCUUCUUUUAAUUACUUUUACUUCUUCGUUUUAGCCCUCUAAAGUAUAUGUGAUUUUUUUAAAGCUUGCUGUCCAUAUCACAAAUUAGCUUGGCCGCUGUGUAAAUUAUGCUCUCUUUGCUAUUUCUUUUAUUUGUAUUACUUCUAAAAUGAUAUUUUGCCCUGGCUGUCUUUUCCUAGCUCUUCCAGCUCUCUUGUUUUAUCUCAUUCAGCUGAUUUACUCCUACAUCUGUUACAUGCUGUGGAGUUUGACUUUAUGCCACGAGCACUGGAGAAUGGUGGCAGAGCUUUAAGUAGGCAAUUGGUAAGAAGGGUAUUAGGUUGGCAGGAUACAAGAUUAAUAACCAAAAAUCAGUAGCAUUUCUAUAUACUACUAGUGAGAAAUCAUGGGGAAAAUCCCAUUAACAAGAGAGACUAAAAGAAACAAAUAUUUAGGAAUAAUUUUCCUAGGAAUAAUUAAUCAAGGACAUAAAAGAAUUUUAUUUGAAAACUGCAAAACACUGCUAAAAGAAACCGAAGAAGGCACCUAAAAAAAUGGCAGGGCAUUCCAUGUUCAUGGAUUGGAAAAGACUAUAUAUUGUUAGGAUGUCAGUUCUACCCAAAUUUAUCUACAGAAUCAAUGCAAUACCAAUAAAUCUUCCAACAGCCUUUUUUCACAGAAUUGGAAAGGCCAAAUAUCAAAAAUUUUUGGAAGGGUAAUAGGUCCUGCAUAGCCAAAAAUAUCUUUAAAAAGAAGAAUGAAGUUGGAGGACUCUCUUUUCCUAACUUUAAAGCAUAUUACUUAACUACAGUGGUAAAAACAGCAUGGCACUGGCAUAAAGAUAGAUAUGUUGACCAACGGAAUAGAAUUGACUGUUCAGAAAUAAAUCCUCAAAUUUAUGACAAAGUGAUUUUGACAAGGCUGUCAAGCUCCCCCAGCUGGGCCAGAACAGUCUAUUCAACAAAUGGUGUUGGGAGAACUGGAUAUCUAUAUCCAAAAGAAGGAGGACCCCUAUCUCACACCUUAUACAAAAAUUAACUCAAAAUGGAUCAAGGACCUAAAUAUAAAAACAAAAAUGUAAGACUACUAGAAGAAAAUGUAGGGAAACAGCUUCAAGAUCUUGUGGUAGGCAGUAGUUUCUUAAGCCUUACACCCAAAGCAUGAGCAAUGAAAGAAAAAAAAUAGAUAAGUGGGACUUCCUCAAACUUAAACACUUCUGUGCUUCAAAGGACUUUGUCAAGAAAGUGAAAAAGCAGCCUACUCAAUGGGAGAAAAUAUUUGUGUAGCAGUUUGAUAUGAUUGAUGAAUUCCAAAAAGAAAUAUUGGAUUAUGUUUGUAAUCUGAUCUGUACCUGGGCAUGAUUGAGUUAUGAUUAGGACGUGGAAUCCCCACCCAGUCCCCACCCCGUGGUGGGUGGGGACUCACAGAUAAAAGGCAUGGCAAAGGACAGAGUUGGAGUUUUGAUGUGAGGGUUUCUGAUGUUGGAAUUUUGAUGUUGGAGGUUGAUGCUGAAGCCUUAAACUAGAACCCCAGGAAGUAAGCCCACAGAGGAAAGAGAAGCUAGGCCCAGGCAGAAAGGAACACUGAGCCCAGCAAGAAGCAAGCCUUGGGAAGAAAGGAACCUUGAAGCCAGAGUAAAGCAAAGCCCAGUAACAUAGGAACCCAGGAAGCCUGAACCCUCGCAGACGUCGGCAGCCAUCUUGCUCCAAAUAGACUUUGUUGAGGGAAGUAACUUAUGCUUUAUAGCCUGAUCUCUCCUGCCCCAAAUAAAUACCCUUUAUAAAAACCAACCUGUUUCUGGUAUUUUGCACCAGCACCCCUUUGGCUAACUAAGACAAUUUGGAAAUCCCACCUAUCCAAUAAGGGUUUGAUACCCAUGUUAUAGAAAGAGAUCAUAUCACCCAAUGAUAAAAAGAAAAGAAACCCAAUUAAUAAAGGGGCCAAAGACUUGAAUAGAUGCUUCUCCAAAGAGG
ensembl:lincRNA